AACGAACGCUGGCGGCAGGCCUAACACAUGCAAGUCGAGCGAGCCCUUCGGGGUUAGCGGCGGACGGGUGAGUAACGCGUGGGAAUGUGCCCUUCUCUACGGAAUAGUCUCGGGAAACUGGGGGUAAUACCGUAUACGCCCUUUUGGGGAAAGAUUUAUCGGAGAAGGAUCAGCCCGCGUUGGAUUAGGUAGUUGGUGGGGUAAUGGCCUACCAAGCCUACGAUCCAUAGCUGGUUUGAGAGGAUGAUCAGCCACACUGGGACUGAGACACGGCCCAGACUCCUACGGGCGGCAGCAGUGGGGAAUCUUAGACAAUGGGGGCAACCCUGAUCUAGCCAUGCCGCGUGAGUGAUGAAGGCCUUAGGGUUGUAAAGCUCUUUCAGCUGGGAAGAUAAUGACGGUACCAGCGGAAGAAGCCCCGGCUAACUCCGUGCCAGCCGCCGCAGUAACAC
rnacentral:rRNA from 1 species